UACAGAGGUCUCAAGCGUUGUUCGGAUUCAUUGGGCGUAAAGGGCGUGUAGGCGGCGGGGUCAGUCGGGUGUGAAAUCUUGGGGCUUAACCCCGAAACGGCACUCGAAACUGCCCGGCUGGAGGGCCGGAGAGGAGAUCGGAAUUCACGGUGUAGCAGUGAAAUGCGUAGAGAUCGUGAGGAAGACCCGUGGCGAAGGCGGAUCUCUGGACGGCUAACUGACGCUGAGGCGCGAAGGCCAGGGGAGCAAACGGG
rnacentral:rRNA from 1 species